rnacentral:rRNA from 1 species
CCUACGGGAGGCAGCAGUGGGGGAUAUUGCACAAUGGGGGAAACCCUGAUGCAGCGACGCCGCGUGUGGGAAGACGGUCUUCUGGAUUGUAAACCACUGUCCCCAGGGACGAAAAUGACGGUACCUGGGGAGGAAGCUCCGGCUAACUACGUGCCAGCAGCCGCGGUAAUACGUAGGGAGCAAGCGUUGUCCGGAAUUACUGGGUGUAAAGGGAGCGUAGGCGGGGAUGCAAGUUGGGUGUCAAAACUACCGGCUCAACGGAUAGUCGCACUGGAAACUGUAACUCUUGAGUGAAGUAGAGGCAGGCGGAAUUCCUGGUGUAGCGGUGAAAUGCGUAGAUAUUAGGAGGAACACCGGUGGCGAAGGCGGCCUGCUGGACUUUUACUGACGCUGAGGCUCGAAAGUGUGGGGAGCAAACAGGAUUAGAUACCCUGGUAGUC